GGAGCAGAUUGGGAGCCCAGAGCUCAGGGACCCCAGGGACACUUUGGAGCCAGAGCGUGGGGAGCCAAAGGCAAUAAAGGUGCAACAGGAUUCAUGAAACUAUAGGGUCCACAAGGUCCCCUGGGAGGUGUUGGGGACCUGGGUCCCCCUGGAGAGAAGGUAAUUGGGAAAGGGAUGAAGGGACCAGUCUUGUGGAUGAGGAAUGACAGUUGGAUUUCUGCCCAUUUUUUGUUGAGGAGACAAAAGAGAAUAAAAUGUGAGAAAUACCAGGAUUUUGUGAGGGGGCAAUGAGGUUUUUGACCCCAAUCUCUUUGCUGCUGGAGCCAGGAGAGUCAGGAUCUCCAGGAAUCCAGGGUGAGCCGGGUGUCAGGGUCUUGGUUUUCCUGGAGACCCUGGCCCCCCAGGAGAAGGUGGCUCAUGUGAGUCUUACUGACAGAGGGGAAGGGAUGAAGAGGUUGGGGCUUCUGUGGGACGCCUCUGUGCAACUGAUGGGCUUAGAUGUUGGGAAGCUGGAGAUAUGGCAGGGCAAGCAGAGGAAUGCAAGGUUUAGCAGUUUUAGGGGUGAUGCCAGCCGGGUCUGGCCUUGCUUCAUCCCUGCAGGACCAGGACAGUGUUAAGGGUGACUAUGGCAAGGAUGGUGAGCCAGUACAGCCCAUGAGUGACCAAUGUCCCUGCCACCCCCACUGAGCUCCAGCCUUCAGCCCCUUACCCCUCUUUUCUGUGCCUCCUGAGGGGUCCCUUGGCUGGAGGCCAACACUCACCCACCCCAAUUCCUCUCAUUCUGUGGAUCCUCUGGUCCCACUGGGGAGAAUGGACUACCUGGACCACAUGGAAAGCAGGUAAGUGAGGUAGAAGACCCUGGGACCUUGGGAGGUAGUCCCUGGGAAAUGUGGGUAGAGGCUGGUGGUGACAGGUGGCACUGACAGGGAGAUGCCUGGUGUCUGUGCUGUCCCUGGAUGUGGUGUGUUGCAUGAGCACAUGGGUUUAUGAGUGUGUUGUGUCUCGGGCAUGUUGCUCCUGGGUUUUUGUGUGCAUAUUCUCACCAGGGCUGGUUACAUGUACUGGCCAAUCAGAAUGGACACUGGAGGAGGGGGCUGGCCGGCUUCUCUGCUGGGUCAGGAGUUAACCUGGGCCACUGGGUGGGGUGUGGUUAAGGGGUUCUUCCCCAAGCAUCCAUGCUCCUCAGCAUUUUCACAACGGACACAGCUCCAUUUGUUCUGAACUCACACUCUGCUUCUGUGCCUGUGUGUGCAGUGUGUGCAUGCAGUGUGUGCGUGCAGGGUGUGCAUGUGCGUGUGUGUGGAGUAUGUGUGCAUGUGUAGCACGGGAAGGGGAAGAGUGGAGCCUGGCUGUUCAGGACCUCAUGUUUUCUCCCUUCCUGUCCCAUCUGCAGGGUCAGCUAAGAAUAGUCAUGACUCAAGGGUCAUUUAGGACACAGGAAGAUACCGGAUGAAGAAACUCUCCCCAAGUCCUAAACUCAUUCACAAAUUAGAAUACAUAGGUCCAGCCCAGGCACAGUGGCUGAAGCCUGGAAUCCUCCCCCUUCCUGCUUCGGGAGACCAAGGCAAGAGGAUCUCUCGAAGUGUGAGUUGGAGGCCAGCUUGGGCGACACAACCAGGAAAAGCAAGUGGCCACCAGGUGGUGCCCGAGAGCUGAGCCCGAGUUCCCUGGGAGGAAUCUGCACCCAGCCCUGGGAUGGCACAGGGAUGCCUCACGGGACACCUGGCCUCAUCCUGGUAGCCCCUUGCUUGCAUUUCCCGGCCCUGGGGUGUCCUCCCCGACUGCACAUGCAUGUAGAGACCAUUCCUCCUUCUCCAAAGAGGGAUUUGGAACAAUUCUCACAUGACCUGACGAGGGACAGCGGCUGUGCUCAGGGUCCCUCUUUUGUCCUCAGAGCAUGACCAGGCCUGUGGCUCUUGCUCAUUGCCCAAGAGCAUGGGAGGUUGCCCGUGGCAAGGCCCCGGAGGACCCUGCUGUGCUGCCUGGGACCAGGAGGCCCGGCUGCCUUCUCCCAGCACCUCUCCCAGCUAGGGUACUGUGCAGGAAAUGGGUGCAGAGGCCAUCGUGGUGGCUGCUCCUGGGGUCCCAGCGGCUCUAGCUGAGGCAGGAGGAGCCAGGGAGCCCAGGAGGCUGAGGCCCCUGUCCUACUGCUCUGGUUGUGCUGCAGUCUCUGUCACCACCACCAACUGCAGUGAGGUGAGCCACUGGGCUGCAGGCUCUAGCCUCCAGCCUGCGACAGAUCCCUCCUCUUUCUGACUCCUCCUGUAGCAGGGCACGGAGAAGCUCUUGCUCAUCGCCGCCUCCUACCACUCCGAACAUGCUGCAGUCUCGUUGACCACGCUGCAGUCUUGGUGGCCACCACCAACUGCAGGGAGCCUGGCCGGGUGCCGCAAGUUGCAGCCUCCACCUCCUCCUCUAAGUCGGGCAUGGAGCAGCAGCGGGAGCAGUCGCAGAAGAGGCUGGAAUGGUGGAAUGCACCCUCAGUAUUCAUUAUAUAUAGAGGUUUCGGCAAUGAGGUCCUGGACUUUGUGUUCUGAUUGGAUGGGGGAAACCUCUAGGCUUUAUCUUCAUGCCCUGAUUGGUUAUCCUAAGAGUUGCUCUCAUCCAAUCUUCUUUAUAAGUGGUCAUCUUUGUAAGUUCAUGCCCAUUGGGAGUUACUGAAGUUGUGAAUGAUUACAUUUAAACUUAUCCUGUAAUUUUAGUCUGAUUUAUUAAUUCCACCUAUCUCCUUAAGCAAAUUAUUCUCUAUAGUGAUGACCCAAGCAAAUUCCUGUCCCAAGAUGGUAUCAAGAUGAUACCCCAAGUUCCUCUCCAGAAUGGUAUCUGGAAAUAUGUGGAGGGAAAUAUUUUUUCUAGGCCUGUAUUAAAUAUGGCACUAAAGCUUAGUGGCUUAAAACAAUACACUGUUAUUAUCUCACAGCUUCUGUGAAUAAGUAGUUCAGGAGAGUGUAGCUGGGUGAUUCUUGCCAAGAGUCUCAUAAGGUUGCAGUCAAUCUGUUGGUGAGAAUUGUAGUUACUUGAAGACUUGGCUGGAGUUGAAGAAUUUAUAUCAAAGAUGGCUUACUUAUGGCAAUUGGAUGGAAGCCCCAGUUUCAGAAUGGCUGCUGGCAAUAGGUCUUUUUACUUGCCACAUGGACCUCUCCAUAGGCUGAUUGAAUGUCCUCCCAAUGUGUCAUCUGGCUUUCUCCAGUGCAAAAGAUCAAAGAAGAGAGUAUGAAGGAACCUGUAAUGCUCUUUAUAAUUUUGUCACAGACUGUCACUUCUGCCAUACUCUAUUGUUUAGAAGUUAGUCAUUAAGUCCAGCCCACACUCAAAAGAACGAGAAUUAACCUCCACCUUUGGAAGAGAGGCUAGUCAAAGCACUUGUGGACAUGUUUUGAAACCACAAAGGGGUAUGGCUGCCAGUCUCCAAGAUGGCCCCCAGUGAUUCUCAUCAGCUCUAAUAAGGAUGAGCAACAGGAUAGGCAACUUCACCCAAUCCCUGCCAGUUGUAGCCAGGCAGGCCAUACCUGCUAGAGCUUCCAGCCCCGUGGUACCACUUCUGACUGAACUCUGCCAACAAGCACAGUCUCUUGUUCUCCUAGGAAACACCUUAAUGGCAUGGUGAGUGACUCCACCCACUGCCACUGCUCACAGCCAGCAGCCCACACCUGCUAGAGUUUCCAGCCCAGCAGUCCUGCUUUUAUAUGAACUCUGCAGGUGGGGGCAACUCCAUGUUCCCCUGGGAAGCAGCUGUACAGCAGAUUAGGUGACUCCACUCAUCCCUGCAACUCCUAGCCAAGCAGUUCUUGCUGGCUUGGGUGGUGCCCAAGCAGUGGGGGAGUCCUCACUCUUGCAUCUCUAACAGAAGUGAGAUGCCCAAGUUCACAGGUCAGUGGAGGAGUGGGUUGUGCCUCCCUCUGUACAGCCAUUCCAGAAAGGAUAUGACCUGUUUGCCAACUGUGGCCCCUGCAUGAGGAAGCCCCAUGGACGAGAACACCUAAUAAAAGAAAUACAGGCAUGGAGUCAGUGAUCAGAGGGGGCUCUUCCAAGGCUCAGGGGUGGACAAGGUGAGGGGGUCAUCUCUACCCCACCCCCUAAAGAGCACUAUGCUAACUUGAGGAAAACACAAAAGAGCUGUGCAGCUGAGAAAAGCCUAUCUGCCUGUCUGCUGGCUAACACUUUUAAGUGCCACCUACUGGAUCACAGCAGAAAAUACAACACAAAAAUAUUUUGCCAGUACACAGCACCUGUGAAAACUAAGGCAAAGAUUAAGCAACAAAUAAACAUUCUGUACAUACUCGUGACCCUCUGAAAACACCCUAAAAAGAAGCCAACUGACUGUACUCAACUUACAUCACAGUUAAAGGAACACUAACCCUUACACAUGAAAAAGAAUCGAUGCAAAAACUCUGGCAACUCAAAAAGCCAGUGUGCCCCCUUACCUACAAACAAAUACACUAGUCCCCCAGAAAUGGUUCUUAGCCAGAUUGAGAUGACUGAAAUGAUGGAAAUAAAAUUCAAGAUCUGGAUGGCAAGGAGGAUCAAUGGGAUCAAAGAGAAAGUUGAAUCCAAGGAACCCAGUAAAACAAUCCAGGAGCUGAAAGAUUAAACAGCCAUUUUAAGAAAGAACCAGCUGGGUGUGAUGGCUCACGCCUGUAAUCCCAGCACUGUGGGAGGCCGAGGCGAGUGGAUUACUUGAGGUUAGGAGUUUUGAGACCAGCCUGGCCAACAUGAUGAAACCCCGUCUCUAACUA
ensembl:lincRNA